UUUUCACAGAUGAUGUAUUUCUGUUGCCGCUACAACAACAAAUACGAAAAAGUAUGGAACCCUCGGUGGGCGAGUCCGACUCGCACUUGACCGGUUUUUAGGGUUCAGUAGCCGAAUGGCAAAAAACGAAACCCUUAUGGAUUUGUCAUGUCUGUCUGUCUGUCCGUCCGAAUGUCACAGCCACUUUUUUCCGAAACUAUAAGAACUAUACUGUUGAAACUUGGUAAAUGUAUUCUGUGAACCGCAUUAAGAUUUUCACACAAAAAUAGAAAAAAAAACAAUAAAUUUUGGGGGUUCCCCAUACUUUAUCAUUUUUUUCUAAACUGAAUAGUUUGCGCGAGAGACACUUCCAAAGUGGUAAAAUGUGUCUCCCCCCCCCUGUAAAUUCUAAAAUAAGAGAAUGAUAAAAAAAUAAAUAUAUGAUAUACAUUACCAUGCAAACUUCCACCGAAAAUUGGUUUGAACGAGAUCUAGUAAGUAGUUUUUUUAAUACGUCUUAAA